rnacentral:rRNA from 1 species
CUAAUACAUGCAAGUCGAGCGAGCGGAACCAACAGAUUUACUUCGGUAAUGACGUUGGGAAAGCGAGCGGCGGAUGGGUGAGUAACACGUGGGGAACCUGCCCCUAAGUCUGGGAUACCAUUUGGAAACAGGUGCUAAUACCGGAUAAUAAAGCAGAUCGCAUGAUCAGCUUUUGAAAGGCGGCGUAAGCUGUCGCUAAGGGAUGGCCCCGCGGUGCAUUAGCUAGUUGGUAAGGUAACGGCUUACCAAGGCGACGAUGCAUAGCCGAGUUGAGAGACUGAUCGGCCACAUUGGGACUGAGACACGGCCCAAACUCCUACGGGAGGCAGCAGUAGGGAAUCUUCCACAAUGGACGCAAGUCUGAUGGAGCAACGCCGCGUGAGUGAAGAAGGUUUUCGGAUCGUAAAGCUCUGUUGUUGGUGAAGAAGGAUAGAGGUAGUAACUGGCCUUUAUUUGACGGUAAUCAACCAGAAAGUCACGGCUAACUACGUGCCAGCAGCCGCGGUAAUACGUAGGUGGCAAGCGUUGUCCGGAUUUAUUGGGCGUAAAGCGAGCGCAGGCGGAAAAAUAAGUCUAAUGUGAAAGCCCUCGGCUUAACCGAGGAACUGCAUCGGAAACUGUUUUUCUUGAGUGCAGAAGAGGAGAGUGGAACUCCAUGUGUAGCGGUGGAAUGCGUAGAUAUAUGGAAGAACACCAGUGGCGAAGGCGGCUCUCUGGUCUGCAACUGACGCUG